rnacentral:rRNA from 1 species
AUUGAACGCUGGCGGCAUGCCUUACACAUGCAAGUCGAAUGGUAACAGGUCUUCGGAUGCUGACGAGUGGCGAGCGGGUGAGUAAUACAUCGGAACGUGCCUAGUAGUGGGGGAUAACUACUCGAAAGAGUGGCUAAUACCGCAUGAGAUCUACGGAUGAAAGCAGGGGAUCGCAAGACCUUGUGCUACUAGAGCGGCCGAUGGCAGAUUAGGUAGUUGGUGGGAUAAAAGCUUACCAAGCCGACGAUCUGUAGCUGGUCUGAGAGGACGAUCAGCAACACUUGGACUGAGAAACGGCCCAGAAUCCUACGGGAGGCAGCAUUGGGGAAUUUUGGACAAUGGGCGCAAGCCUGAUCCAGCAAUGCCGCGUGCAGGAUGAAGGCCUUCGGGUUGUAAACUGCUUUUGUACGGAACGAAAAGCCCCGGGUUAAUACCCCGGGGUCAUGACGGUACCGUAAGAAUAAGCACCGGCUAACUACGUGCCAGCCGCCGCCGUAA